rnacentral:rRNA from 1 species
UACGUAGGGGGCGAGCGUUAUCCAGAUUUACUGGGCGUAAAGCGCGUGUAGGCGGCUGGUUAGGUGUGAUGUGAAAUCCUCGGGCUCAACCCGAGAACUGCAUUGCAAACCGGCCUGGCUAGAGUGCAGGAGAGGGAAGCGGAAUUCCAGGUGUAGCGGUGAAAUGCUUAGAUAUCAGGAGGAACACCAGUGGCGAAGGCGGUGUGCUGGGCCAGUACUGACGCUGAGGCGCGAAAGCGUGGGGAGCGAACAGG